rnacentral:rRNA from 1 species
UACGUAGGGACCGAGCGUUGUCCGGAAUCAUUGGGCGUAAAGAGCGUGUAGGCGGUCCGAUAAGUCCGCUCUGAAAGCCCGGGGCUCAACCCCGGGAGGCGGGCGGAUACUGUCGGGCUAGAGUCCGGAAGAGGCGAGUGGAAUUCCUGGUGUAGCGGUGGAAUGCGCAGAUAUCAGGAGGAACACCAAUAGCGAAGGCAGCUCGCUGGGACGUUACUGACACUGAGGCGCGAAAGCGUGGGGAGCGAACAGG